CAGCAGCCGCGGUAAUACAGAGGGUGCGAGCGUUAAUCGGAUUUACUGGGCGUAAAGCGCGCGUAGGCGGCUUCUUAAGUCGGAUGUGAAAUCCCUGAGCUUAACUUAGGAAUUGCAUUCGAUACUGGGAAGCUAGAGUAUGGGAGAGGAUGGUAGAAUUCCAGGUGUAGCGGUGAAAUGCGUAGAGAUCUGGAGGAAUACCGAUGGCGAAGGCAGCCAUCUGGCCUAAUACUGACGCUGAGGUACGAAAGCAUGGGGAGCAAACAGGAUUAGAUACCCCUGUAGUCCCUGUCUCUUAUAC
rnacentral:rRNA from 1 species